rnacentral:rRNA from 1 species
UACGGGGGGGGUAAGCGUUGUUCGGAAUUACUGGGCGUAAAGGGCUCGUAGGCGGCCAACUAAGUCAUACGUGAAAUCCCUCAGCUUAACUGGGGAACUGCGUGUGAUACUGGAUGGCUUGGAUUUGGGAGAGGGAUGCGGAAUUCCAGAUGUAGCGGUGAAAUGCGUAGAUAUCUGGAGGAACACCGGUGGCGAAGGCGGCAUCCUGGACCAAUAUUGACGCUGAGGAGCGAAAGCCAGGGGAGCAAACGGG